UACGGGGGGGGCAAGCGUUGUUCGGAAUUACUGGGCGUAAAGGGCUCGUAGGCGGCCAACUAAGUCAGACGUGAAAUCCCUCGGCUUAACCGGGGAACUGCGUCUGAUACUGGAUGGCUUGAAUCCGGGAGAGGGAUGCGGAAUUCCAGGUGUAGCGGUGAAAUACGUAGAUAUCUGGAGGAACACCGGUGGCGAAGGCGGCAUCCUGGACCGGCAUUGACGCUGAGGAGCGAAAGCCAGGGGAGCAAACGGG
rnacentral:rRNA from 1 species